rnacentral:rRNA from 1 species
GUGUCAGCAGCCGCGGUAAUACGGAGGGUGCAAGCGUUGUUCGGAUUUACUGGGCGUAAAGGGCGUGUAGGCGGUUGGCUAAGUCAGAUGUGAAAUCCCUUGGCUUAACCAAGGAACGGCAUUUGAAACUAGCUAACUAGAGUACAGGAGAGGAAAGUGGAAUUCCCAGUGUAGAGGUGAAAUUCAUAGAUAUUGGGAGGAACACCGGUAGCGAAGGCGGCUUUCUGGCCUGAUACUGACGCUGAGACGCGAAAGCGUGGGUAGCAAACAGGAUUAGAUACCCUGGUAGUCCACGCCGUAAACGAUGGGAACUAGGUGUAGGAAGUGUUGACCCUUUCUGUGCCGAAGCUAACGCAUUAAGUUCCCCGCCUGGGGAGUACGGUCGCAAGGCUAAA